CCCUUAGAUGUUCUGGGCUGCACGCGCGCUACACUGAUUCAUUCAACGAGUUUUUAUUAUUUUCCUACUCCGAAAGGAAUGGGUAAUCUUUUGAAAUUGAAUCGUGCUGGGGAUAGAUGAUUGCAAUUAUUCAUCUUGAACAAGGAAUACCUAGUAAGCGUAACUCAUCAGGUUGCGUUGAUUACGUCCCUGCCCUUUGUACACACCGCCCGUCGCUCCUACCGAUUGAAUGUUCCGGUGAAAUGUUGGGAUGCUGAAACGCUUGGAGGGCAACUUUCAUUGUUUUAGCAGAACAUCCUUAAACCUUAACAUUUAGAGGAAGGAGAAGUCGUAACA
rnacentral:rRNA from 1 species